AUCCAAAUGAUGAGUCCCGAAUAGGACUAAAUGUGUGUUUUGGAU
rnacentral:hammerhead_ribozyme from 1 species